CCCUUAGAUGUUCUGGGCCGCACACGCGCUACACUGAAGGAGGCAGCGUGUACUCCUGGAUCGAAAGAUUUGGGUAACCCGCGAAUCUCCUUCGUGCUAGGGAUUGAGGUUUGCAAUUAUCCUUCAUGAACGAGGAAUUCCCAGUAAGUGCAAGUCAUAAGCUUGCGCUGACUACGUCCCUGCCCUUUGUACACACCGCCCGUCGCUACUACCAAUUGAAUGAUUUAGUGAGGACUUCGGACUGGGACCGAUGCGGCUUUCGGGCUGCGUCGGUAUUCUGGAAAGAUGUCCAAACUGUAUCAUUUAGAGGAAGUAAAAGUCGUAACA
rnacentral:rRNA from 1 species